CAGUAGCCGCGGGAAUACGUAGGUGGCAAGCGUUGUCCGGAACUAUUGGGCGUAAAGCGCGCGCAGGCGGAUAGGUCAGUCUGUCUUAAAAGUUCGGGGCUUAACCCCGUGAUGGGAUGGAAACUGCCAAUCUAGAGUAUCGGAGAGGAAAGUGGAAUUCCUAGUGUAGCGGUGAAAUGCGUAGAUAUUAGGAAGAACACCAGUGGCGAAGGCGACUUUCUGGACGAAAACUGACGCUGAGGCGCGAAAGCCAGGGGAGCGAACGGGAUUAGAUACCCGUGUAGUCCCUGUCUCUUUACAC
rnacentral:rRNA from 1 species